GGGCCAUAGCUCAGUAGGCAGAGGACCUGCCUUCCAUGCAGAAGGCCCCAAGUUCAAUUCCUGACAUCUCCA